GCAAGUCGGACGGUAACGGGAAGAAGCUUGCUUCUUUGCCGACGAGUGGCGUACGGGUGAGUAAUGUCUGGGAAACUGCCCGAUGGAGGGGGAUAACCACUGGAAACGGUGGCUAAUACCGCAUAAUGUCUUCGGACCAAAGUGGGGGACCUCCGGGCCUCACACCAUCGGAUGUGGCCAGACGGGAGUAGCGGGUGGGUGAGGUAAAGGCUCACCUAGGCGACGAUCCCUAGCUGGUCUGAGAGGAGGAGC
rnacentral:rRNA from 1 species